rnacentral:pre_miRNA from 1 species
UUGUUUCUCGCCAUCUAUGGCACUAUUAGAAUUCACGGUUGUUUUCGUUCGUGUUUGAACGCACUUCAUGACCGUGACUUCUUUAGUGCUAUAUAUGGCGAGAACGC